CUUUAGUGUUCCAUGGCUGAGUCCGAGUGCACUGCAAGCAAUGCCUAUUUUUUUUUUUUUUUCACAGAUUCAUCAUUUGUUGGCAGCCCUUGGUGGGAAGAGGAUGGCUUGGGCUCUGAGAGUCAAAGAAGUGGAGAUGGGGCCUGUGCACCUGUCAGGAAGAUCUGGAGGCCUAGGUGGAUGAAGCAGGUGAGGAUCCAGAGCAGGGCUGAGGGAAC
rnacentral:lncRNA from 1 species